GACGAACGCUGGCGGCGUGCUUAACACAUGCAAGUCGAACGGUAAGGCCCCUUCGGGGGUACACGAGUGGCGAACGGGUGAGUAACACGUGGGUGAUCUGCCCUGCACUCUGGGAUAAGCCUGGGAAACUGGGUCUAAUACCGGAUAUGAGCUCCUGUCGCAUGGCGGGGGUUGGAAAGGUUUACUGGUGCAGGAUGGGCCCGCGGCCUAUCAGCUUGUUGGUGGGGUAAUGGCCUACCAAGGCGACGACGGGUAGCCGGCCUGAGAGGGCGACCGGCCACACUGGGACUGAGACACGGCCCAGACUCCUACGGGAGGCAGCAGUGGGGAAUAUUGCACAAUGGGCGAAAGCCUGAUGCAGCGACGCCGCGUGAGGGAUGACGGCCUUCGGGUUGUAAACCUCUUUCAGCAGGGACGAAGCGAGAGUGACGGUACCUGCAGAAGAAGCACCGGCCAACUACGUGCCAGCCGCCGCGGUAA
rnacentral:rRNA from 1 species